rnacentral:rRNA from 1 species
CACGUAGGGCGCAAGCGUUGUCCGGAAUUCUUGGGCGUAAAGAGCUCGUAGGUGGUCUGUUGCGUCCGCUGUGAAAACUCGGGGCUUAACCCCGAGCCUGCAGUGGAUACGGGCAGACUAGAGGUAGGUAGGGGAGAAUGGAAUUCCUGGUGUAGCGGUGAAAUGCGCAGAUAUCAGGAGGAACACCGGUGGCGAAGGCGGUUCUCUGGGACGGUACUGACGCUGAGACGCGAAAGCGUGGGGAGCGAACAGG